AUUGAACGCUGGCGGCAUGCCUAACACAUGCAAGUCGAACGGCAGCACAGCAUGUAGCAAUACAUGUGGGUGGCGAGUGGCGGACGGGUGAGUAACGCGUGGGAAUCUGCCCUAUAGUGGGGGACAACCCGACGAAAGUCGGGCUAAUACCGCAUACGCCUACGGGGAAAGGCUUCGGCCGCUAUUGGAUGAGCCCGCGUCGGAUUAGCUAGUUGGUGAGGUAAUGGCUCACCAAGGCGACGAUCCGUAGCUGGUCUGAGAGGACGAUCAGCCACACUGGGACUGAGACACGGCCCAGACUCCUACGGGAGGCAGCAGUGGGGGAAUAUUGCACAAUGGGCGAAAGCCUGAUGCAGCAAUGCCGCGUGUGUGAAGAAGGCCUGCGGGUUGUAAAGCACUUUCGGUAGGGAAGAUUAUGACGGUACCUACAGAAGAAGACACCGGCUAACUCCGUGCCAGCAGCCGCGGUAAU
rnacentral:rRNA from 1 species